rnacentral:rRNA from 1 species
GGGGGGGGGGGGGGGGGGGGGGGGGGGGGGGGGGGCGGGGGGGGGGGGGGGGGGCGUGCGCGUGUGGCGUUGGCGGCGGGCGGGGGGGUGACGCGUGGAUCACCUACCUCGAGGCCGGGGCUCCCUUCGGGACACCGGCGCCCGUACCGGCUCAUCUAUUGACCCGCGUGGUCCCAUAGUGACAGACGGGCUUGCUGUGCCUCAUAGAUGGCUCCGCGCCGCAGUCGCUAGUUGGUAAGGGAACGGCUUCCCAAGGAAACGAUGCGUAUCCGCCCGGACCGGGUGAGCGGCCACACUGGAACUGAGACACGGUCCAGACUCCUACGGGAGGCAGCAGUAGGGAAUCUUCCGCAAUGGGCGAAAGCUUGACGGAGCAACGCCGCGUGAGUGAUGAAGGUCUUCGGAUCGUAAAACUCUGUUAUUAGGGAAGAACAAAUGUGUAAGUAACUAUGCACGUCUUGACGGUACCUAAUCAGAAAGCCACGGCUAACUACGUG